UGUCAGUCACGUGACAGAGCCAAAUGUAACCAUCGGCACGAGGGGGAAAAUACAGCGUCACUACUUGGACCUCGAAUAUCGCUGUGAAAUGUGUCACGACACGGUUUUGUUAAGCUGGUGGUCUUGAAGAUGCACUAUGUCCUCACUUUGUUCUCGACUGGAUUAGAGGGACAAACUCAGAAAAGAAUGGAUCAAUGUUGUGUAGCGACAUUUUACUCCCUGCGUGUGUCUCCGGCUCACUCUUGAAGAGUGGAAUCGUGCCACCAGCGGAGGUGCCGUGGGCUGCUUGGGUGGUGCGGUGCGGUGCGGUGUGGUGCGGUGUGGAGGAGGGGGACAGCAUGACAUCCUUCUCCUGACGGAGCGACUGGCAGGUGCUGAAGGUGAAGGUCUAGGCUACUCCUCCUCAGCUCAGGAUGGGAAAACCUCGGCUGCUGCUGCUGCUGCUGCU